AUUGAACGCUGGCGGCAGGCCUAACACAUGCAAGUCGAGCGAGCGGCGGACGGGUGAGUAAUGUAUGGGGACUGCCCGAUAGAGGGGGAUAACUACUGGAAACGGUGGCUAAUACCGCAUACUAUCGGAUAACCCAUAUGGGAUUAGCUUGUAGGUGAGGUAACGGCUCACCUAGGCGACGAUCCCUAGCUGGUCUGAGAGGAUGAUUGUCCACACGGGGACUGGGAAACGGCCCAGACUCCUACGGAGGCAGCAGUGGGGAAUAUUGCACAAGGGGCGCAAGCCUGAUGCAGCCAUGCCGCGUGUAGGAAGAAGGCCUUCGGGUUGUAAAGUACUUUCAGUCGGGAGGCGUUACCGACAGAAGAAGCACCGGCUAACUCCGUGCCAGCAGCCGCGGUAAUAC
rnacentral:rRNA from 1 species